GGUAAAAUGGCUGAAAAUAGGCGGUAGGCUGUAAACUUAUUUAUGAAUUUAAUUCUUUUACC
rnacentral:tRNA from 1 species